rnacentral:rRNA from 1 species
GAUGAACGCUGGCGGCGUGCCUAAUACAUGCAAGUCGAGCGAACAGACGAGGAGCUUGCUCCUCUGACGUUAGCGGCGGACGGGUGAGUAACACGUGGAUAACCUACCUAUAAGACUGGGAUAACUUCGGGAAACCGGAGCUAAUACCGGAUAAUAUAUUGAACCGCAUGGUUCAAUAGUGAAAUACGGUUUUGCUGUCACUUAUAGAUGGAUCCGCGCCGCAUUAGCUAGUUGGUAAGGUAACGGCUUACCAAGGCAACGAUGCGUAGCCGACCUGAGAGGGUGAUCGGCCACACUGGAACUGAGACACGGUCCAGACUCCUACGGGAGGCAGCAGUAGGGAAUCUUCCGCAAUGGGCGAAAGCCUGACGGAGCAACGCCGCGUGAGUGAUGAAGGUCUUCGGAUCGUAAAACUCUGUUAUUAGGGAAGAACAAAUGUGUAAGUAACUAUGCACGUCUUGACGGUACCUAACCAGAAAGCCACGGCUAACUACGUG